ensembl:lncRNA
GGCCGCCUGGCCACCCUUUGUGCGGGUGUCCGCUCCCCAGGCUCCGAAAGCCUUGCCAGCCCUUGUGAUCGGGUGGCACCGCCCACCAGGCGUGUGAAAGAAAGAAGAAAGAAGAAAAAACCCGGACCGGGCCGCCUGGCCACCCUUUGUGCGGGUGUCCGCUCCCCAGGCUCCGAAAGCCUUGCCAGCCCUUGUGAUCGGGUGGCACCGCCCACCAGGCGUGUGAAAGAAAGAAGAAAAGAAGAAAAAACCCGGACCGGGCCGCCUGGCCACCCUUUGUGCGGGUGUCCGCUCCCCAGGCUCCGAAAUCCUUGCCAGCCCUUGUGAUCGGGGGGCACCGCCCACCAGGCAUGUGAAAGAAAGAAGAAA